rnacentral:siRNA from 1 species
AGUCCCAACAAAUACCUUUAAAGA